GGCUUUGUCUUCCUGAACGGUGUGAGGUGUGGCUUUGUCUUCCUGAGUGGUGUGAGGUGUGGCUUUGUCUUCCUGAGCGGUGUGAGGUGUGGCUUUGUCUUCCUGAGUGGUGUGAGGUGUGGCUUUGUCUCACCGCUUGGUGAUGAGACCCCAUCCUCCUGCCCGCCACCAGCACCACGUGGGUGCCCCCAGCCCCAUCCCAGGUCUGCCAGCAGCUGCGUGUCCCUCCCGUUACCCACCAUGCCCUGCUUCCGUUUCCCUCCUGUUGUCCACACACCAGUUUCACUGUGCUUCCUGGAGCUGGGGCCCUAUCUCUGUGUCUCUGCCACCAUCCGUAGUGCCUGGGAUGUGAAAGGCGAUCAGGAAACGUUACCGGAAGGCACGUAUAGACGUGGACCUGUGGGCUCGGGCUGGCUGCGGGUCACUGGUUCCCUGCCCCUCAGGCCGUUCCUCAACUACCAGAGGAUGUACUACGUGUUCAUCCAGAUGCUGUCCAGCGGGCCCGCCUGGCUGGCCAUCGUGCUGCUGGUGACCAUCAGCCUCCUUCCCGACGUCCUCAAGAAAGUCCUGUGCCGGCAGCUGUGGCCAACAGCAACAGAGAGAGUCCAGGUACGGAGUGUCCCCAGCCGGGGCGGGGGUGCCUCAGGGCCCUGGCCUUAGGAUUGGGAGAUGACCGUUUUGAAAGACAGUGUGAAAGGUUUGGAUUUCAUGAAACGUGAUCAGUUCAGGUAUCACUAAUGAGUGUCCUGACGGUGCAUGAUGUUAAACAUCAGGUACAUUUGCGAUGACCGAUGUCUAAUUUUAUGUUUCAACCUAAACAGUCAUCUGAAAUGAGACACAAAUAAGAGAAAAAAGACUGAUGCAAAAGGCAAAUUAUUUCAUGUAAAUGGAAACCUUUUUUAAAAUUAAUCAUUACUUUAAAAGGUUGAAUUACAUAAUUUUUAAGCGAGAAGCAGCUGUCCAGUGGUGGUUUUCUCUAAGCACGGUCCUUGGUUACUGAGCUCUUUAGCUGUGCAGUUCCACAGCGGGCACACGUGUUCAUGACAGGGCUCUGUGCAUGGGACACGUGUUCAUAACCACAUCCCAUACAUGGGGACGUGGCAGACACACAUGUAACAAGGACAUCAGGCACAGAAGAGACAGCAGGGCUGGGGGUCUGACCCCGAGAGAGAGCAGGUGCAGCUUGGGGGUGUCUGCUGGGCCCCUAGCUGUGGCCACAGUGGUGUGGCUUGGGGUUUGCACGAGUCUCAGCCCCACCUGGCCCCUGGGUGCAUGUGGCUGCAGAGGUGCUUGGUCAAAGAUGCCUGAGCAGGCAGGAGUUGAACUCGGGGGGUUAGGAGGGCCUCUCCCCGCAGGAGUCUGGGCUCUUCCAUGCACUGUGCACGCAGCCUCCAGAGUCGGGGCUGCCGAGGGCCACGCCCCCGGAUGUGUCUGACCACAGGCCCUCUGCUCUGCAACUCAUCUCCAGGAUGGGUGGGCACUUUGGGAAUGCCAGUGAGGACCCUCCCCGUCCCACCCUUUGUUUAGAAGCCCCUGUAUUGCUGUGGGUCUCUGCGUCCCACAAGAGCCCCGGGAAUGCUUAUGAACAGCUACACAGCGGGACCUGCAGAAGGCAUA
rnacentral:lncRNA from 1 species